rnacentral:rRNA from 1 species
GCGCGAUUGGAGCGGCCGAUAUCAGAUUAGGUAGUUGGUGAGGUAAAGGCUCACCAAGCCGACGAUCUGUAGCUGGUUUGAGAGGAUGAUCAGCCACACUGGAACUGAGACACGGUCCAGACUCCUACGGGAGGCAGCAGUGGGGAAUAUUGGACAAUGGGCGCAAGCCUGAUCCAGCCAUGCCGCGUGUGUGAAGAAGGCCUUCGGUUGUAAAGCACUUUCAGCGAGGAGGAAGGGUUAGUAGUUAAUAGCUGCUAAUUUUGACGUUACUCGCAGAAGAAGCACCGGCUAACUCUGUG